rnacentral:misc_RNA from 1 species
AAGUCGUAACAAGGUUUCCGUAGGUGAACCUGCGGAAGGAUCAUUAUUACGUAUCCAACGUAUCAACCCAAUAGUGAAUUUGUUUCCCGUCUGAUUUGAGGGUAUCUGCGACCAAAUAAGGAGCUUCAAAAAUGCAUGAUGAGGAAGGGUGAAACCUUCUUCGAGGCUUUCGGUCGGUCCUAGUAGUUGAACCUCUUGUUCAAAGCGGCUCUUGCUACUAGCUCAUCAGAUGUGGUUUUUAUUUUAUCAUCAUGCGAACUUAUUAACCCCAUGUAACAAAAAAAUCUGAACUAAAAGAUUUGCUACCUGAUAAAAAGGGUGGUAAAAAGACUGAAAUUAAGAAACAACUCUUAACAACGGAUAUCUUGGUUCUC